GUCUUAUCAAGAGUGGAUGAGAGACCGGGCUCGAUGACUCCACAGCAACCUGCGUUUUGCAAGGUGCUCCUACCCGCAAAGCGGUUUCGCUUUGGAUGAUAAGAG
rnacentral:ncRNA from 2 species